CCCUUAGAUGUUCUGGGCUGCACACGUGCUACACUGGCAGGUUCAGCGAGCUUCAUGCCCUGAUCUGAAAGGAAUGGGAAAUCUUUUCAAAACCUGCCGUGCUUGGGAUAGAUGUUUGCAAUUAUUCAUCUUCAACGAGGAUUGCCUUGUAAGCGCACGUCAUCAGCGUGCAUUGAAUACGAACCUGUAUUCUGUACACACCGCCCGUCGCUCCUACCGAUUGAAGUUUUCGGUGAGUUGACAGGAGGAUUUUUUUGAAACUGGUUCGCCAGUGGAUUUUAGAUCCAAAUGCCAACGAAUCGAUGGCUUUAGAGGAAGGAGAAGUCGUAACA
rnacentral:rRNA from 1 species